CUGCAUAUCAAGCAUUUUGCAUUGUUGCUCGAUUAGAUUAACAUGAACAUAGUAUACAAUUUAUGUAAUAAAAAUUUUAAGUGCAUGACCCCCCGAGUGACUUAGUCGAAGUCAACAAUUUCAUGUUAGUGCGCGGAUACUAUAAAUAAAAACAAAUGAUAAAAAACAGAUAAGUCACCACAAGUUCACAAAGGGAAUUACGUCUACAAAUGAUAGUCACGAUGGUUAACGUUAAGGUAACGUUGAUCUGUGUUCUACUAGCUUUAAGUGUUGCCAGUGGUAAGGAAGUCGAAGACAAUCCAGAGGUACCAAAUUCGCAUCAUUCGAAUGAAGUAGGCAAAGAAGAGGUGGAUGGUUUGGCAGUGGUCACGCAGCCCAGCGGUGUACAAACGGUUUUUGACAAACUGCGGGGAAAUUGUAGGUGGAGGAUACCUCAGUGGUUAUAAAGUCAAACCUAUAUUCUAAUUACCUAAUAACGUCAAUUAAUUGACUAAAUGCAAGAUUCUCUGAUAAAUAAAAUAAAUAAAUAAAAUAAAAACAUACUCGAAAACAUAUCAGUGACUGUUUCCACAAACUUUGGUACAAAUCAAUGUCAGUUUGCUUAUGGUUUGGGGAGAGCCACGGGUGGGGUAUGGAAAACCUAAAAAAAUUAAAUACCAAAAGAGUUCCAUAAGUCUUUUAUUCCUAAACCUGAAAAGGAGGAUGGAGAAUGGAAAAGAACCUAGCACAGCAAAAUAGAAAAUAUUUAUUGGGUGCAUUAAAUUGUGACAGAACGUAAGCUCACGGAAUCAAAAUAUGAAAAUCUCUGAGGAAACACUAUCCCACAAACCUCUCCGAAACGAAACCAUUUUAAGGGGGGUUGUUUCCGAGUCCCGCACCUUGCGUGAGAGUGCGAGAGUAGCCGAUACGAUAAUCCAUUUUGGACAACUCAACCUGGACCCUGGAGCAGGUCAACGAGAGUAUCUUGGCCCAGAAUUUCGAUCCUGCUCCAAUAGACAUCAUUUCCUUAGGCACACGUGAUGUUCCGGUUUCGCCCGCGUGAACAGAGGACAUGCCACUGUAAAAAAAAAUCGAUAACGGUCACUUGAUUUGUAAACCCUUGUAAAAGGUGUUGUAAAAUUCAUACGUUAGAUGUCGCCUAUCGCCUUUCAAUCUGAAUCCCCAUCCAUUCUCUUGUUAUAC